UCUAUUUAUAAGUUUAUUCACUUUUUUUUUAAAACAAUAUUUAAUCAGUUAAAUGUCACAUUAUCAAUAUAAUGAAAUAUGAAUCAGUUGCAUGCUAAUGUGUAGAUAUAAAGAAAUGGUUGAGACAUGCACACUACAGAGACAAGAUUAUCAGCACUCUUAGCCCAGAGGGACAUUGGGCACUUUAUGUGUGGUUCAUCUUACAAUCCACAUGAGUUGUACCCUGGUGAUAAUUAGUACAACGAGAACAAACAGAAUUAUAUUUGCAUAGACUCAAUGGCAUAUGAAAACAGAAUAAAUUAAAGCUGAUUACAAUGAGUGGUUAGUAAUAGAAUUCACAGUUAAGAAACUUUUCUUUUAAUAAAAAAUGUACGUUGCUUGAAAUAUUUUUAAUGGUACAGUGACUAAGAACAGCUGGGAACCCCUGGUCUAGAUUUUAAAAAAUGAUUCAAACUUGAACUCAAGAAUGAGAAUAACGCAGAAAAAAAUACCAAGCAACAUAGCCUCAGCAAUCAUAGAACAUGCAAUAUUUGUUAAACUAAUACAAGAUUUGGUUUAAAAAGUUUGCAAUAUUUUAAGAUACAGGGUUUUAUUGAUACGAUGCUACAAAUUCUGUUCACAUAAUGGUUUUUAUUAUUAGUAUUUUAUUUUAUUAUUAUUGGUUGCUAUUAAAAAAUCAGUAUGCUUCAGCAAAGAAAAAAAAACUUACUACAAAGACCUAACUUUUAUACUUGUCUUCCAAGACAUAACAUCAUUUGUAUUCAGUGGCGUCAUGCACCGGGUGAAAGGGGUUGACACCCGAAUGGAAAAAAAAGAAUAUUUUAAAAAACUAGAGAAUAAAAGCCAGAAUGGAAAAAUUGAAUAUCAGCAAAAACUAACAGAUAAAAAAAAAAGAAGACCAGAAAUCUCAACAUAUAUAUAUACACAUACCCAAAUAUGUAUGCCUAGGCACAUAUCUACUGUACUAUUCUAGAUCUAUAUAUUUUAUUUGAGGCCUUAUUGUAAAUAUUUUAUUUUCUUAGGUAAAAAUGUUCAAAAUGUUACGUGAUAACAAAGGGGAUGCAAAGGCUCAGUUGUUGUUGUUGUUUUUAGAACAAACAUUGUUUGUAUUUGUAUUGUACUCAUGUUCUAUUUAAGUAUCCAUUAAUUAGGCCACAAAGAGACUCUGUAUUACUACAUUUUAAGACAAAUUAUUAAUUAAUUAUGUGACGUUUUAUCGUCCAAGUAGAACUUUUCUAAGUUCUAAACAUGAGGAUAAUCUAGAACUACUGCAGCUUUCCUCAAGCUGUGGUUGGGGGGGGGGGGGGG